GACGUAGGGCGCAAGCGUUGUCCGGAUUUAUUGGGCGUAAAGAGCUCGUAGGCGGUUUGUUGCGUCGGCCGUGAAAACCUGCAGCUUAACUGUGGGCCUGCGGCCGAUACGGGCAGACUUGAGUUCGGUAGGGGAGACUGGAAUUCCUGGUGUAGCGGUGAAAUGCGCAGAUAUCAGGAGGAACACCGGUGGCGAAGGCGGGUCUCUGGGCCGAUACUGACGCUGAGGAGCGAAAGCGUGGGGAGCAAACAGG
rnacentral:rRNA from 1 species